rnacentral:rRNA from 1 species
AGAGUUGAUCCUGGCUCAGGACGAACGCUGGCGGCGUGCCUAAUACAUGCAAGUCGAACGCUUUUUCUUUCACCGGAGCUUGCUCCACCGAAAGAAAAAGAGUGGCGAACGGGUGAGUAACACGUGGGUAACCUGCCCAUCAGAAGGGGAUAACACUUGGAAACAGGUGCUAAUACCGUAUAACACUAUUUUCCGCAUGGAAGAAAGUUGAAAGGCGCUUUUGCGUCACUGAUGGAUGGACCCGCGGUGCAUUAGCUAGUUGGUGAGGUAACGGCUCACCAAGGCAACGAUGCAUAGCCGACCUGAGAGGGUGAUCGGCCACACUGGGACUGAGACACGGCCCAGACUCCUACGGGAGGCAGCAGUAGGGAAUCUUCGGCAAUGGACGAAAGUCUGACCGAGCAACGCCGCGUGAGUGAAGAAGGUUUUCGGAUCGUAAAACUCUGUUGUUAGAGAAGAACAANGAUGAGAGUAAAAUGUUCAUCCCUUGACGGUAUCUAACCAGAAAGCCACGGCUAACUACGUGCCAGCAGCCGCGGUAAUACGUAGGUGGCAAGCGUUGUCCGGAUUUAUUGGGCGUAAAGCGAGCGCAGGCGGUUUCUUAAGUCUGAUGUGAAAGCCCCCGGCUCAACCGGGGAGGGUCAUUGGAAACUGGGAGACUUGAGUGCAGAAGAGGAGAGUGGAAUUCCAUGUGUAGCGGUGAAAUGCGUAGAUAUAUGGAGGAACACCAGUGGCGAAGGCGGCUCUCUGGUCUGUAACUGACGCUGAGGCUCGAAAGCGUGGGGAGCGAACAGGAUAGAUUACCUGGUAGUC